rnacentral:lncRNA from 1 species
GUCAGGGGGCGCAGCGUGCUCCUGGGGGGCAGCCAGUACCACCCCCGCCUCACCUGGUCCCUAAUGUCCUCCCGCAGCUCCGUCAGGACCCGGUUGAACAGGGUCAGCUGCGUGACCAGUGCCUUGGUCUGCUCGCCUGGCCAGGAGCAAAAGAACAAGGUCAGUCCCAGGGCAGAUGCAGCUUCCCAGGGCCAUGGGCUGGGAACUGGGAGGACAAGACAAGCAUCGGCCCAUCCUCCUCCUCCCUGGUCCACACAGGAUCCCUUCCCCUGUAGUAAUCCCUUCGAUCCACCACAUCCUGAGGCCAGCAGGCACGUGGGGCACCGGGGUGGGUUGUGCAGCCCCAAACACUGCCAUUGCCCUCAUGCCAGGGAAGGAGGGGAGCAGAGCAGAGACUCACCCAGGACGGAGGCCAGCGCGCUUGCCACUGCCAAGGAGAGAGCACAUGGGUGACCCUGUACCUGCUCUGCCCAGUGCAAGGGUCAGACGUGCCAUUACCUGCACUGUGAAUGGACUCAUCUCCUUGGAAAGGGCACUCGCUCAGGGCCCCCACACGGCUCAUGGACCCCCCCAGGAUCAGCUUCAUCGACUCCACGACCCCCUGAUGUACAAGGGGAGACAUGGUCAGGUAACGCACCAGGACUGCGGAGCAGCGGGAUGAGGCCGUCAGCUCCUCCCUGCCUCAGCGCCGGCGGACCCCCAGGGCCAGCGCGCACCCGCUGCCGUCCCCAGUGCGCCCCUCGGGUGGCAGCGACUCGGUCUCCGUUUCCCUGCGAGCAUCACGGACCCACCUUUGUUGAUUUUCCCCACUACGGAGACCUCCAACCACCUCGUGUUGUCCUUCUUGGAGUAGAGGCCAAAGAGGGUCCCCCCCUGCUUGGGGGGCAGGCGGAAGGUGGACAGGAGGUAAACGUCGUUAACGGUCAGGAGCUCCAUGCGGAUCUUGUGUGUGAUGCUGGCCAUCUGCCGGGCCUCGCUCACCAGCAGCAGGUCGAUGACUGCAGGAGCCAAACGCGGGGGUCGCACCGUGACCGGGACCCGCAGCUCC